rnacentral:rRNA from 1 species
CGAGAUUCCCCCAGUAGCGGCGAGCGAACGGGGAGCAGCCCAGAGCCUGAAUCAGUGUGUGUGUUAGUGGAAGCGUCUGGAAAGGCGUGCGAUACAGGGUGACAGCCCCGUACACAAAAAUGCACAUACUGUGAGCUCGAUGAGUAGGGCGGGACACGUGGUAUCCUGUCUGAAUAUGGGGGGACCAUCCUCCAAGGCUAAAUACUCCUGACUGACCGAUAGUGAACCAGUACCGUGAGGGGAAGGCGAAAAGAA